rnacentral:rRNA from 1 species
GAUGAACGCUGGCGGCGUGCCUAAUACAUGCAAGUCGAGCGAACAGAUAAGGAGCUUGCUCCUUUGACGUUAGCGGCGGACGGGUGAGUAACACGUGGGAAACCUACCUAUAAGACUGGGAUAACUUCGGGGAACCGGCGCUAAUACCGGAUAACAUUUGGAACCGCAUGGUUCUAAAGUGAAAGAUGGUUUUGCUAUCGCUUAUAGAUGGACCCGCGCCGCAUUAGCCAGUUGGUAAGGUAACGGCUUACCAAGGCGACGAUACGUAGCCGGACUGAGAGGGUGAUCGGCGACACUGGAACUGAGACACGGUCCAGACUCCUACGGGAGGCGGCAGUAGGGAAUCUGCCGAAAUGGGCGAAAGCCUGACGGAGCAACGCCGCGUGAGUGAUGAAGGGUUUCGGCUCGUAAAACUCUGUUAUUAGGGAAGAACAAAUGUGUAAGUAACUGUGCACGUCUUGACGGUACCUAAUCAGAAAGCCACGGCUAACUACGUGCCAGCCGCCGCAGUAA